GAUGAACGCUGACCGAAUGCUUAACACAUGCAAGUCUACUUGAACUUCGGUUUGGGUGGCGGACGGGUGAGUAACGCGUAAAGAACUUGCCUCACAGAUAGGGACAACAUUUGGAAACGAAUGCUAAUACCUGAUAUUAUGAUUUUAGGGCAUCCUAGAAUUAUGAAAGCUAUAUGCACUGUGAGAGAGCUUUGCGUCCCAUUAGCUAGUUGGAGAGGUAACGGCUCACCAAGGCGAUGAUGGGUAGCCGGCCUGAGAGGGUGAUCGGCCACAAGGGGACUGAGACACGGCCCGUACUCCUACGGGAGGCAGCAGUGGGGAAUAUUGGACAAUGGACCAAGAGUCUGAUCCAGCAAUUCUGUGUGCACGAUGAAGUUUUUCGGAAUGUAAAGUGCUUUCAGUUGGGAAGAAAAAAAUGACGGUACCAACAGAAGAAGAGACGGCUAAAUACGUG
rnacentral:rRNA from 1 species